UGUGGGAGCGAGCUUGCUCGCGAUGGCGUCAGUCAGUCACACACCCUAUGGACUGGCACACCGCUAUCGCGAGCAAGCUCGCUCCCACA
rnacentral:misc_RNA from 1 species